rnacentral:lncRNA from 1 species
AUGAAAUCAGCAAUCCCUAACUGCCCCAGUUCUCUCCAAGUCAAAUGUCUUCUCGCCCUGGGCUUUUUGUUCCGCAAAAUGAACCUCUGCCUCCCGCCACCGGAUCUGGGGUGCUCCUGCUGCCUCCAAAGAAGAAGGGGGCGCUGCUCCGUCUGCCCCUGCCUGCUGCGGGGACGUGCGGGGACGCUCCUUCCCAUGCUCCUCAGGCACCUUGCGGCUCCGCUCCCAGAUGACGAGAUACAUCAAAUAUUGGUUCAUUUCGAUUGAACUCAUCCAGAUGGCUUCUGUUAUCUCCAGUUCCCUGUUGGAUGCCACAGAAUGAUUCUGUAAGUUAUGAAUGAGCUGGAUGGUUGCUAUCUUCUGUUGUAGUUUUUUCUCUGAUUGACUGCAUGCACACAAGCAUCUCAGCUCCUUUAGUCUUAGGUGGCAAAGCCAUAAUCUUUCCUCCAUUCUGGGUCAUUCUAGCUCAGAGCCCUGAAUGAUGACAUCUUUUGGACAUUGCAUUUCUACAUGUGUAAUUUCUUAGACACUUCAUCCCAGGUGGGCUCUUUGUACACUGGAUGGCUCUCCAUCCACAGGGAGACAAAUUAUAAAUAAUUAUGUCUUAAGAGACAAAAGGGGAAUUGAGAAGAUCUUUGCAAAUUUACCCAAAAGGCGCCAUGUGGUCAUUCCACAACAUUGUGUACACACACACACACAUGGUUGGGGGGUGCAGGAAAAAGAGAGAAAAAAAUGAGAAGUAAAAAAUAACUGUUUCCUUCCCUGAGGGCUUUGAAAUAGCAAAUUAUCUAUUUGCAACUGACAUUUUUUUAAGCUGACUGUGUGUACAAUUCAAGCUUUCAUUUUGUGAAAUUACUGGAAACGAGGGGGAUACUAGGACUUUGCAAAUAAUCUGUUCUCAGACAUAACAGGCCAGUUGCCAACCGCUCCUUACUUCUUUCACUGUCUUCAAAGAAUGAUCUUGCUGCAUAUCAACAGAAAUAAUCAUGGGUAAUAUGUACAUGUUUCUCUAGUCUGCAUUCCUGCUACAUGAGUCUUUUUGUGUACUGUGGAGAGCUUAGGAAACAAGCUCUUACCCCUCAGCCAUUUUCCUGGGAGCAAGGAAUGAAGAUUAGACAGGUCUGUGGCAUUCAGGAGCAUAGUGUGCUGGGUUCUGAGGUUGGAGUAGUGGUGUCCAUUCCUCCUCUCCUUGCCCUUGUGGACUGACCCCAGCCACACGUGUGCAAGGAUAAACAAAGGCCAGUCUAGACUUGCCUCUGCUGUUGCUGUCAGUCUCUCUCUCUCUCUGUGACCUAUACUCUGCAUGUAGCCAGAUACCAAAGACGUGGUACCUACAGCUCAGCGAGUGCAGUGGGCAGGGCUGAGUCUAGAGCACUGCAGAAGGGCACCAUGUCCUCAGGGUGUCUCAGAUCCUCCUUGGGGAACUUCCCCAGGCACUCAGCAUUCUCCAUGACUAGUGUUCCCAUCAAUCAACCAAAAUGGCCACAGAUUUUAACAGGGAGCCUACUAAAGAUAUGCUGAUGACACGGGCAGGGCAGCCAUUGGGUUUAUAAUAACAACCACCAUAUUUCAGAAUUUAGCUCUGGGUAUUUCUAACUGGAUGGCCUCAAGCAAGUUAUUAAAUCCUGAAGGUUUCUAUUUUCUCAAUAAAAAUAACUUCCUAUCUACCUCCUGGUUUGUGGGAAUAUAGGAAAAAUUUUAAAACUGUUCAUAUAAUAAUAUACCAUAAAAGAAACUGUUAAGUGCUCUUGCAAUGCUAGGUAUCACUAUUAAGUGCCUAGCACCAUGCCAGGCAGGGUGGAAUAAAAAUAUCUAAGAUUUCACACCUAUCUAAAAUAAGUUCACUAUCUAGUUGGGAGGAAAGGCUUGAUGCAUGACAAAAUGUGCUAUUUUAUGUCUACCUAUUGGGUGUUAUUAAUGUCAAAUAACACCUCGUUCUAUGAGGUUCGCUCUCUUGUUAUUCCCAUUUUACACAUGAGAUCAUGAGACAGGUUGAAUAACUGUCCAAGGUCCAAUAGCUGUGGGAGACCCAAAAUAUUAAACUCAAGAAAUCUAACUUCAGGGCCCAAACUCCACCUUGAUCCUGUGCUUUCUUCUUUUGUGGUACUAAAUGAAUGCUACAGACAACAAUUAAGUGGACUUAGUUAUGGAGGAAAUCAAUAUGAUAAUCCUCUCAAAGAUCCUACCUGAGUAUCUUUCCCUCAGAGCCCUAUUUUUAGCUGUAUGAUAAGCCAUAGUAAAAGCCUCAACAUAAAAACUAAGCCUUCUUAAUGUGGCUCCCCUUUGAAAGUCCUCAAAAUCCGUCAGCCUAUUCACAACGUAGAGCUCGUUUUGAAGGCCUUUAUGGAACACUGAAGACUGGAGACUGACACUUUUCAUCUUCCAACAAAUCUCAAAGCAUGUCCUAGAGAUGCCAACACCUGUGCCCACACAUAACCAAUAUGUGUAAAUAUGGUGCCAAUAAACACCAUAUUUACUGGUAUAUCAUAUAGGGAUAUAUUUCAUCAGGUCUCCUUGCUCAAAAAGUACUGGUCCAUUGCAUUGUUCCUGUGAAGAAGUAUUGAUCAUUGGUAUGGAAUAGAAUUUAAUAGCAAUUCUCACUCUCGGUGGCAGGGGGAUCAGAAGUGUAUGUUAGAUGAUAAGGGGCAUUUUUUUAAAUAUACAGCAGAAAUGUAUUUCUCACAGUUCUAGAUGCUGGGAAGUCCAAGAUAAAGGUGCCAGCAUAUUCAGUGACUGUUGAAGGUCUACUUUCUGGUUCAUAGAUGGUCAUCUUUUCAUCUUUUAAAAUUUUUUUAUCAUUAUUAAUUUAUUAUUAUUCUACUUUAAGUUCUGGGGUACAUGUGCACAACGUGCAGGUUUGUUACAUAGGUAUAUAUGUGUUGUGUUGGUUUGCUGCACCCGUCAACUCAUCAUUUACAUUAGGUAUUUCUCCUAAUGCUAUCCCUCCCCAGCCCCCAACCCCAUGACAGGCCCCGGUGUGUGAUGUUCCCAUCGAUAAGGGACAAUUUUUAACAUACCAAGGGCAGCACAAUUCAAAAUAGAAUUCCUUGUGAGAAGGAAUGUGACAAACAUUAAGAGUCAUCCCAUAUUUCUUCUAAUAUCUGUGAGAGUUCACUGGACCCUGAAACCUUGCUUGUAGUUUUUGGUGCCUUCUAAAAUUAAUAGAAUCUUGGCAUGAAUGCCCCAGUUCUUUUUUUCUUUUCUUUUUUUAGAUGGAGCCUCGCUCUGUCCCCCAGGCUAGAGUGCAGUGGUGCGAUUUCGGCUCACUGCGAGCUCUGCCUCCUGGUUUCAAGUGAUUCUCCUGCCUCAGCCUCCCAAGUAACUGGGAUUACAGGCACCCCCCACCAUGCCCAGCUAAUUUUUGUAUUUUUGGUAGUCUGGGAUUCACCAUCUUGGCCAGGCUGGUCUUGAACUCCUGACCUCAAGUGAUCCACCUGCCUCAGCCUCCCAGAGUGUUGGGAUUACAGGCAUGAGCCACUGCACCCAGCCGACUGCCCCUAAUUCUGACUCUAUUAAUGACUAUUGUGCGUUCAUUUCAGCUCGAUCACCCCACACUGCAAAACGAAAUGCUAAAGCCAGAUCUUUAAGGAUUUGGGAUAGUGAUGCUGAAAUGCCAUAGACCUCCUCUUGAAAAUGGGGUAUUUUUCUCUGAAUGCCUUUUUAAGUGAGUUUUUCAUGAAUUUUCAAUUAAUGCUUAAAUAUUGAAGACUAGUCUAUUCAAUCUUUCCAGCACACUUCACUGGACACCAGACUUACACAGUUCUCCCUGUGUUCAGGCGACCACUUCGUAGACAUUUACUAUUUCCUUCCAUCCCAAGGACAGUUCACCUUGGUAGGGUGGUUCCUCAAAACCAGAUAUCACAAUGGGGUGACUCAAAGUCAGACAACUUCCCAGCACUUUCUUGAGCAAAUUUCUAAGAGAUAUAGAGCAAGUGGACAUUUGACAUCAACCAGGUAUUUGGCCAAAGAGCUCCUGGAGGUCAGCAGAAGUCAGAUACCUUUGGGUAUGCAGUAAGUUCGGAACUUCUGUGCUCUGAAAGAACAAGUUUGAAUUAAGACAGGCCCUUUAAGGAUCCAAUAAGGAACCACGGGCCAGUCUCAGGAUGACCUGAACACAAAUGUUUCAGGAAGUUCUAAACACAGCAAGAUUGAGAAGGACCAUCUCACAUGAAUUACUGGCCGGGGUUUGUCUUCUCCACUAGACUGUAAGUCUGUAUCUUGUUCACUUCUGUUUUUCCAGUGCUGACUACACAAUUUGGUGCAUGGUAACCAUAAAACAAGGUAGAGUAGUUAUUUCACGGAGUGCGUGUCUUUGGAGACCAGGCCUGGUGAGGCAUUAACAGACCUGAAUGUUUUUAUGCAACACGAUGGCAUUGGAGACCAUUAUCUUAAGUGAAAUAACUCAGAAUCAUAAAGUCAAAUACCUCAUCUUCUCACUAACAAGUGGGAGCAAAAUAAGGUAUACACAUAGACAUAGAGUGUGGAAUAAUGGACAUUGGAGACUCAGAAGGGAGAGAGGACGGGAGGAGGGUGAGGGAUGAUAAAUUACUUAAUGAGUAUAAUGUACACUAUUCUAGUGAUAGUUACACUAAAAGUCCAGACUUCACCAAUAUGCAAUAUAUCCUUGUUAAAAUACUGAACUUUUACCCCUUAAGCUUACGCAAGAUAAAAAAUUUUAAAAAAUUGUUUUAAGUUUUCACGUUGUCCUUUCC